rfam:Schistosoma curassoni strain Dakar, Senegal genome assembly, scaffold: SCTD_contig0003826
GCACUGCUGAGGAGUCCCAUACUAGGACGAAACGGCCGUUCAAUGC